ACCUUGAAAACGUCUUAGAAAACCCGAGUGCCAGCACAGGCUGGCUGUCCACCAGUGUAAAUAACUGGUGAAGAAAGGGCCGGGCAAGACCGGUGCCAGCCGCCGCGGUAAUACCGGCGGCUCGAGUGGUGGCCGCUAUUACUGGGCUUAAAGGGUCCGUAGCUGGAUAUACAAGUCCCUUGAGAAAUCCGCCGGCUUAACCGGUGGGCGUUCAGGGGAAACUGUAUUUCUAGGGACCGGGAGAGGUGAGAGGUACUGCCGGGGUAGGAGUGAAAUCCUGUAAUCCCGGUGGGACCACCUAUGGCGAAGGCAUCUCACCAGAACGGGUCCGACAGUGAGGGACGAAAGCUGGGGGAGCAAACCGGAUUAGAUACCCGGGUAGUCCCAGCUGUAAACGAUGCGCGUUAGGUGUGUCAGUGACCACGUGUCACUGAGGUGCCGAAGGGAAACCGUGAAACGCGCCGCCUGGGGAGUACGGUCGCAAGGCUGAAACUUAAAGGAAUUGGCG
rnacentral:rRNA from 1 species